UUCUAACCUCAUGAUCCUUCGACUGCCCACCCCCUCCCUCUACUCCACACAUUCUAGUUUUCAAGAUACUUUCAUGUUAUCCUUUGUGGAAUUAAGCCCAGGAGCCCUUUCAUGUUAUGGAAACACUUUACCUCUGAAAUACAUCCCCCUCCUUCAGAUGCUUCUGAAUUUACAAAAUAGAAUGGAUUUGAGGACAAGGUUAAGUGAUACUGAAAGAAUAUUAAAAUGGUUUGGUUAUUAAAA